rnacentral:rRNA from 1 species
UUAAGCGACUAAGCGUACACGGUGGAUGCCCUGGCAGUCAGAGGCGAUGAAGGACGUGCUAAUCUGCGAUAAGCGCCGGUAAGGUGAUAUGAACCGUUAUAACCGGCGAUUUCCGAAUGGGGAAACCCAGUGUGACUCGUCACACUAUCAUUAACUGAAUCCAUAGGUUAAUGAGGCGAACCGGGGGAACUGAAACAUCUAAGUACCCCGAGGAAAAGAAAUCAACCGAGAUUCCCCAGUAGCGGCGAGCGAACGGGGAGGAGCCCAGAGCCUGAAUCAGCAUGUGUGUUAGUGGAAGCGUCUGGAAAGGCGCGCGAUACAGGGUGACAGCCCCGUACACAAAAGCGCAUAUGCUGUGAGCUCGAUGAGUAGGGCGGGACACGUGGUAUCCUGUCUGAAUAUGGGGGGACCAUCCUCCAAGGCUAAAUACUCCUGACUGACCGAUAGUGAACCAGUACCGUGAGGGAAAGGCGAAAAGAACCCCGGCGAGGGGAGUGAAAAAGAACCUGAAACCGUGUACGUACAAGCAGUGGGAGCCCCACCACUAAGCCAGUGGUGAACUCCACAUACGCAUCCUUUGCUGAGGAUACGGUUAACGGAGCGAAAGCGACGUUCAACCUCAAAAGAAGCAGAGGGGGCUUAGUGGUGGGGUGACUGCGUACCUUUUGUAUAAUGGGUCAGCGACUUAUAUUCUGUAGCAAGGUUAACCGUAUAGGGGAGCCGGAGGGAAACCGAGUCUUAACCGGGCGUUAAGUUGCAGGGUAUAGACCCGAAACCCGGUGAUCUAGCCAUGGGCAGGUUGAAGGUUGGGUAACACUAACUGGAGGACCGAACCGACUAAUGUUGAAAAAUUAGCGGAUGACCUGUGGCUGGGGGUGAAAGGCCAAUCAAACCGGGAGAUAGCUGGUUCUCCCCGAAAGCUAUUUAGGUAGCGCCUCGUGAAUUCAUCUCCGGGGGUAGAGCACUGUUUCGGCUAGGGGGCCAUCCCGGCUUACCAACCCGAUGCAAACUGCGAAUACCGGAGAAUGUUAUCACGGGAGACACACGGCGGGUGCUAACGUCCGUCGUGAAGAGGGAAACAACCCAGACCGCCAGCUAAGGUCCCAAAGUCAUGGUUAAGUGGGAAACGAUGUGGGAAGGCCCAGACAGCCAGGAUGUUGGCUUAGAAGCAGCCAUCAUUUAAAGAAAGCGUAAUAGCUCACUGGUCGAGUCGGCCUGCGCGGAAGAUGUAACGGGGCUAAACCAUGCACCGAAGCUGCGGCAGCGACACUCAGGUGUUGUUGGGUAGGGGAGCGUUCUGUAAGCCUGCGAAGGUGGCCUGUGAGGGUUGCUGGAGGUAUCAGAAGUGCGAAUGCUGACAUAAGUAACGAUAAAGCGGGUGAAAAGCCCGCUCGCCGGAAGACCAAGGGUUCCUGUCCAACGUUAAUCGGGGCAGGGUGAGUCGACCCCUAAGGCGAGGCCGAAAGGCGUAGUCGAUGGGAAACGGGUUAAUAUUCCCGUACUUGGUGUUACUGCGAAGGGGGGACGGAGAAGGCUAUGUUGGCCGGGCGACGGUUGUCCCGGUUUAAGCGUGUAGGUGUGUGUUCCAGGUAAAUCCGGUUCACUUUAACACUGAGGCGUGAUGACGAGGCACUACGGUGCUGAAGCAACAAAUGCCCUGCUUCCAGGAAAAGCCUCUAAGCAUCAGGUAACACGAAAUCGUACCCCAAACCGACACAGGUGGUCAGGUAGAGAAUACCAAGGCGCUUGAGAGAACUCGGGUGAAGGAACUAGGCAAAAUGGUGCCGUAACUUCGGGAGAAGGCACGCUGACAUGUAGGUGAAGUGAUUUACUCAUGGAGCUGAAGUCAGUCGAAGAUACCAGCUGGCUGCAACUGUUUAUUAAAAACACAGCACUGUGCAAACACGAAAGUGGACGUAUACGGUGUGACGCCUGCCCGGUGCCGGAAGGUUAAUUGAUGGGGUCAGCGCAAGCGAAGCUCCUGAUCGAAGCCCCGGUAAACGGCGGCCGUAACUAUAACGGUCCUAAGGUAGCGAAAUUCCUUGUCGGGUAAGUUCCGACCUGCACGAAUGGCGUAAUGAUGGCCAGGCUGUCUCCACCCGAGACUCAGUGAAAUUGAACUCGCUGUGAAGAUGCAGUGUACCCGCGGCAAGACGGAAAGACCCCGUGAACCUUUACUAUAGCUUGACACUGAACAUUGAGCCUUGAUGUGUAGGAUAGGUGGGAGGCUUUGAAGUGUGGACGCCAGUCUGCAUGGAGCCGACCUUGAAAUACCACCCUUUAAUGUUUGAUGUUCUAACGUGGACCCGUAAUCCGGGUUGCGGACAGUGUCUGGUGGGUAGUUUGACUGGGGCGGUCUCCUCCUAAAGAGUAACGGAGGAGCACGAAGGUUGGCUAAUCCUGGUCGGACAUCAGGAGGUUAGUGCAAUGGCAUAAGCCAGCUUGACUGCGAGCGUGACGGCGCGAGCAGGUGCGAAAGCAGGUCAUAGUGAUCCGGUGGUUCUGAAUGGAAGGGCCAUCGCUCAACGGAUAAAAGGUACUCCGGGGAUAACAGGCUGAUACCGCCCAAGAGUUCAUAUCGACGGCGGUGUUUGGCACCUCGAUGUCGGCUCAUCACAUCCUGGGGCUGAAGUAGGUCCCAAGGGUAUGGCUGUUCGCCAUUUAAAGUGGUACGCGAGCUGGGUUUAGAACGUCGUGAGACAGUUCGGUCCCUAUCUGCCGUGGGCGCUGGAGAACUGAGGGGGGCUGCUCCUAGUACGAGAGGACCGGAGUGGACGCAUCACUGGUGUUCGGGUUGUCAUGCCAAUGGCACUGCCCGGUAGCUAAAUGCGGAAGAGAUAAGUGCUGAAAGCAUCUAAGCACGAAACUUGCCCCGAGAUGAGUUCUCCCUGAGACUUUAGGUCUCCUGAAGGAACGUUGAAGACGACGACGUUGAUAGGCCGGGUGUGUAAGCGCAGCGAUGCGUUGAGCUAACCGGUACUAAUGAACCGUGAGGCUUAACCUU